rnacentral:rRNA from 1 species
AUUGAACGCUGGCGGCAGGCCUAACACAUGCAAGUCGAACGGUAACAGGAAGAAGCUUGCUUCUUUGCUGACGAGUGGCGGACGGGUGAGUAAUGUCUGGGAAACUGCCUGAUGGAGGGGGAUAACUACUGGAAACGGUAGCUAAUACCGCAUAACGUCGCAAGACCAAAGAGGGGGACCUUCGGGCCUCUUGCCAUCGGAUGUGCCCAGAUGGGAUUAGCUAGUAGGUGGGGUAAGGGCUCACCUAGGCGACGAUCUCUAGCUGGUCUGAGAGGAUGACGAGCCACACUGGAACUUAAACACGGUCCAGACUCCUACGGGAGGCAGCAGUGGGGAAUAUUACACAAUGGUCGCAAGCCUUAUGCAGCCAUGCCGCGUGUAUGAAGAAGGCCUUCGGGUUGUAAAGUACUUUCACCGGGGAGGAAGAAAUUAAAGUUAAUACCUUGCCUCAUUGACGUUACCCACAAAAGAAGCACCGGCUAACUCCGUG